rnacentral:rRNA from 1 species
GACGAACGCUGGCGGCGUGCUUAACACAUGCAAGUCGAACGGAAAGGCCCUGCUUUUGUGGGGUGCUCGAGUGGCGAACGGGUGAGUAACACGUGAGUAACCUGCCCUUGACUUUGGGAUAACUUCAGGAAACUGGGGCUAAUACCGGAUAGGAGCUCCUGCUGCAUGGUGGGGGUUGGAAAGUUUCGGCGGUUGGGGAUGGACUCGCGGCUUAUCAGCUUGUUGGUGGGGUAGUGGCUUACCAAGGCUUUGACGGGUAGCCGGCCUGAGAGGGUGACCGGCCACAUUGGGACUGAGAUACGGCCCAGACCCCUACGGGAGGCAGCAGUGGGGAAUAUUGCACAAUGGGCGGAAGCCUGAUGCAGCAACGCCGCGUGCGGGAUGACGGCCUUCGGGUUGUAAACCGCUUUCGCCUGUGACGAAGCGUGAGUGACGGUAAUGGGUAAAGAAGCACCGGCUAACUACGUGCCAGCAGCCGCGGUGAUACGUAGGGUGCGAGCGUUGUCCGGAUUUAUUGGGCGUAAAGGGCUCGUAGGUGGUUGAUCGCGUCGGAAGUGUAAUCUUGGGGCUUAACCCUGAGCGUGCUUUCGAUACGGGUUGACUUGAGGAAGGUAGGGGAGAAUGGAAUUCCUGGUGGAGCGGUGGAAUGCGCAGAUAUCAGGAGGAACACCAGUGGCGAAGGCGGUUCUCUGGGCCUUUCCUGACGCUGAGGAGCGAAAGCGUGGGGAGCGAACAGGCUUAGAUACCCUGGUAGUCCACGCUGUAAACGGUGGGUACUAGGUGUGGGGUCCAUUCCACGGGUUCCGUGCCGUAGCUAACGCUUUAAGUACCCCGCCUGGGGAGUACGGCCGCAAGGCUAAAACUCAAAGGAAUUGACGGGGCCCCGCACAAGCGGCGGAGCAUGCGGAUUAAUUCGAUGCAACGCGUAGAACCUUACCUGGGUUUGACAUGGAUCGGGAGUGCUCAGAGAUGGGUGUGCCUCUUUUGGGGUCGGUUCACAGGUGGUGCAUGCCUGUCGUCAGCUCGUGUCGUGAGAUGUUGGGUUAAGUCCCGCAACGAGCGCAACCCUUGUUCACUGUUGCCAGCACGUUAUGGUGGGGACUCAGUGGAGACCGCCGGGGUCAACUCGGAGGAAGGUGGGGAUGACGUCAAGUCCUCAUGCCCCUUAUGUCCAGGGCUUCACGCAUGCUACAAUGGCUGGUACAGAGAGUGGCGAGCCUGUGAGGGUGAGCGAAUCUCGGAAAGCCGGUCUCAGUUCGGAUUGGGGUCUGCAACUCGACCUCAUGAAGUCGGAGUCGCUAGUAAUCGCAGAUCAGCAACGCUGCGGUGAAUACGUUCCCGGG